rnacentral:misc_RNA from 1 species
GAUGAAGAACGUAGCGAAAUGCGAUAAGUAAUGUGAAUUGCAGAAUUCAGUGAAUCAUCGAAUCUUUGAACGCACAUUGCGCCCGCCAGCACUCUGGCGGGCAUGCCUGUCCGAGCGUCAUUUCAACCCUCGAGCACCGCUCGGCGUUGGGGGAGCGGCCCGCGCGCCGCCCCCCGAAAUGCAGUGGCGACCUCGCCGCGUUCCUCCCCUGCGCAGUAGCUCUCAAGAGAACCGCGCAUCGGCGGCGCGGCGGCGGUCACGCCGUGAAACACCCCCCUCAAGAGUUGACCUCGGAUCAGGUAGGGAUACCCGCUGAACUUAAGCAUAUCAAUAAGCGGAGGA